CCUGGAAAAGCAAAAGAGUUCAGAUUAUUAUAAAGACAGCAAGGUUUGGAGUCAAUUCUAGUGACUGCUGGGGGAAGGCAGGAUUUCCAGGCUCUUUGCUGUAGCUGACAGUGCCGGGGGUUGAAGGAGGUGUCUUUUCCAGGUAGGCAGGCAAGAGCCCCCAUCUUUGUUUACAUCAGUGGCUCAGACUACUAUACCCCUUUCAGGAGUCUGAUUUGUGUUGCAUACCCCAAGUUUCACCUCACUUAAAAACUACUUGCUUCCAAAUUCAGACAAAAAUACAAAAGCAUCACAGCACAGUAGUACUGAAAAAUUGCUUAUAUGGUCAAAAUGAGAAAGUAAUUAUAAAAUAAAUCAAUUGGAAUAUAAAUAUUAAGAACAUAAGAACGGCCACACUGGGUCAGACCAAUGGUCCAUCUAGCCCAGUAUCCUGUCUUCCGACAGUGGCCAAUGCCAGGUGCCCCAGAGGGAAUGAACAGAACAGGUAAUCAUCAAGUGAUCCUUUCCCUGUCGCUCAUUCCCAACUUCUGGCAAAACAGAGGCUAGGGCCACCAUCCCUGCCCAUCCUGGCUAAUAGCCAUUGAUGGACCUGUCCUUCAUGACCUUAUCUAGAUCUUUUUUGAACCCUGUUAUAGUCUUGGCCUUCACGACAUCCUCUGGCAAAGAGUUCCAUAGGUUGACUGUGCAUUGUGUGAAGAAAUACUUCCUUGUACUUACAUUUCAGUGUAUAGUAUAUAGAGCAGUAUAAACAAAUCAUUGUUCGUAUGAAAGAAGUAGUUACCUUGUGCAGUAACUAUGGUUCUUCGAGAUGUGUCCCCCUAUAGGUGCUCCACUUUAGGUGUCGGUGCAUCGUGGAACUGCAGAUCGGAGAUUUUAGGUAGUAGUGCUCGGUCGGGUCGCGCAUGCCCAGUAGUCUCUCUGUGCUGUUGGCACCUCAUGUAGUUUGCGCAUGACCCAACCCUUUCAGUUCCUUCUUUACUGAGGAGCUCGAGGUACGAACUCCAAAGUAGAGGGGAGAAGGGCAGGUAGUGGAGCACCCACAGGGGAACACAUCUCGAAGAACCAUCGUUACUGCACAACAUGUGUAACUACUUCUUCAAGUAGUGUCCCUGUAGGUGCUCCACUUUAGGUGUCUGUAAAGCAGUGCCCUAUUGUGGACAGUAAGGCCUAGUAUAGCGUCCGACAUAGUGCACUGGGUGAUGGCAUAGUGUUUUGCAAAGGUGUACUCUGAUGCCCAUGCGGCAGCCCUAUGUGUAUCUAUUAGAGGGACAUUGUUCAGGAAGGUUAUGGAUGUAGCCAUGGCACGGGUAGAAUGGGAUUGGAUGCCUGGUGGAGGUUCCUUGUUGUGCAGCUGGUAGCAAAGUUGGAUACAGGUAGAGAUCCAUUUAGAUAGUCUCUGGGUCAAUAUUACCCAGCCCUCGGAGCAUUCUGUUAUGGAGAUAAACAGUCUUGGGGAUUUGCGGAAGGGUUUGGUUCUGUCUAAAUAGAAUGCUAUGGUUCAUCUGACAUCUAGUGUAUGUAGGGCGGCCUCUUAUGCAUCCAAGUGUAGUUUAGGGUAAAAUGUAGGUAGGUGUAUGGUUUGAUUUACAUGAAAGGAUGUUUCUACGUUCGGUAAAAAUUUUGGGUGUGGUCAUAACAUGAUUUUGUCUUUAGUGAACACAGUGUAAGGAGGUUCGGCCAUAAGUGUCCUGAUUUCGCUGACUCAUCUGGCUGAUGUGAUCGCUACCAAAAACGCAACUUUCAUAGACAUACGAAGGAGUGAACAGGUCUCCAGUGGUUCAAAAAGUGCUCUUGUAAGGCAUUUGGUACAUGAUUCAAGUCCCCUGGUGGUGCCGGUUGUCGGACUUCUGGGUGCAUAUUCUGUAUACCAACAAGGAAGCGUCUAGUAGUUGGUCCAAUUAGCUACGUUGGAACCACAUAGGAGCCAUGCUUUGAGGUGGAGUUUCGCUGGAUUCAGAUGGAGAGUCCAGCCUCCAUUCUGUGAGAGGAGAUCCAACCACAAUGGAAGACGUCAUGGAGCACACACUGUUAGGCUCGACAGGCUGAGGGAUAGGAAACAAUCAACAGUGAAUUGCAUGAAUCGAAGCGCUUCGUCAAGCGUCGAGGCUUUGAGGAGGCAGUCGUCUAGGACCGGAGGGUUGCCCUUGAAUCCUUCAUUGAGUGAAGGACGUCGUUCAUUGUGGAGACAAAGAGUUUGUCGCCAUUGAAUGGAAGGUCUUCAACGGUACUCUGGACCUCUCGAGGAAAUGAAGAGGAGGAGAGCCACGAACCUCGGUACAUGACUACUGCUGUAGCGGUGGAUCUUGCUGCAGUAUUGGCCGCAUCGAGGACCACUUGAAGAGCAGUACGUGAUAUGAUUUGUCCCUCAGAGACUAAAGCAGUGAAUUGUGGUUUCUUUUCUUCUGGAAUGUCCUCAAUGAAGUCCAUGAAUUUGUUGUAAUUUUUGUGAUCAUAUUUUGCCAGCACGGCAGUAUAAUUAGCAAGUCGAAAUUGUAGCAUGGAAGAUGCGUAUACUUUACAUCCGACCAGAUCUAAACGCUUACUGUCUUUGUCGGCUGGGGUGGAGCGGGGAUACUAGUGUUUGUUCUUUUGGUUGACUGCAUCUACCACCAGCGAAUCAGGUGCUGGAUGAGUGAAAAGGAAUUCAGAGCCC